rnacentral:rRNA from 1 species
CCCUUAGAUGUUCUGGGCCGCACGCGCGCUACACUGAUGAAUUCAACGAGCACUAACCUGUGCCGAAAGGUUCGGGUAAUCUUGUGAAAUUUCAUCGUGAUGGGGAUUGAUUAUUGCAAUUUUUAAUCAUAAACGAGGAAUGCCUAGUAAGCGUGAGUCAUCAGCUCACGUUGAUUACGUCCCUGCCCUUUGUACACACCGCCCGUCGCUCCUACCGAUUGAAUGUGCCAGUGAAAAGUUCGGAUUGGAGAUUGGAGACGGCAACGUAUCCUAUUUCCGAGAAAAUCUUUAAACUUUCCCAUUUAGAGGAAGGAGAAGUCGUAACA